GACGAACGCUGGCGGCGUGCUUAACACAUGCAAGUCGAGCGGUAAGGCCCCUUCGGGGGUACACGAGCGGCGAACAGGUGAGUAACACGUGAGCAAUCUGCCCAUCACUUCGGGAUAACUCCGGGAAACCGAAGCUAAUACCGAAUACGACCACCUCCGGCAUCGGAUGGUGGUGGAAAGUUCCGGCGGUGAUGGAUGAGCUCGCGGCCUAUCAGCUUGUUGGUGGGGUAACGGCCCACCAAGGCUUCGACGGGUAGCCGGCCUGAGAGGGUGACCGGCCACACUAAGACUGAGACACGGCCCAGACUCCUACAGGAGGCAGCAGUAAGGAAUAUUGGACAAUGGGCGAAAGCCUGAUCCAGCAACGCCGCGUGAGGGAUGACGGCCUUCGGGUUGUAAACCUCUUUCAGCAGGGACGAAGCGCAAGUGACGGUACCUGCAGAAGAAGCACCGGCCAACUACGUGCCAGCAGCCGCAGUAAAAC
rnacentral:rRNA from 1 species